AACGAACGCUGGCGGCAUGCCUAACACAUGCAAGUCGAACGAGACCUUCGGGUCUAGUGGCGCACGGGUGCGUAACGCGUGGGAACCUGCCCUUAGGUUCGGAAUAACUCCCCGAAAGGGGUGCUAAUACCGGAUAAUGUCUUCGGACCAAAGAUUUAUCGCCUUUGGAUGGGCCCGCGUUGGAUUAGCUAGUUGGUAGGGUAAAAGCCUACCAAGGCGACGAUCCAUAGCUGGUCUGAGAGGAUGAUCAGCCACACUGGGACUGAGACACGGCCCAGACUCCUACGGGAGGCAGCAGUGGGGAAUAUAGGAAAAUGGGCGAAAGCCUGAUACAGCAAUGCCGCGUGAGUGAUGAAGGCCUUAGGGUUGUAAAGCUCUUUUACCCGGGAUGAUAAUGACAGUACCGGGAGAAUAAGCUCCGGCUAACUCCGUG
rnacentral:rRNA from 1 species